rnacentral:rRNA from 1 species
GACGAACGCUGGCGGCGUGCCUAAUACAUGCAAGUUGAGCGAUGAAGAUUGGUGCUUGCACCAAUUUGAAGAGCAGCGAACGGGUGAGUAACGCGUGGGGAAUCUGCCUUUGAGCGGGGGACAACAUUUGGAAACGAAUGCUAAUACCGCAUAACAACUUUAAACAUAAGUUUUAAGUUUGAAAGAUGCAAUUGCAUCACUCAAAGAUGAUCCCGCGUUGUAUUAGCUAGUUGGUGAGGUAAAGGCUCACCAAGGCGAUGAUACAUAGCCGACCUGAGAGGGUGAUCGGCCACAUUGGGACUGAGACACGGCCCAAACGCCUACGGGAGGCAGCAGUAGGGAAUCUUCGGCAAUGGACGAAAGUCUGACCGAGCAACGCCGCGUGAGUGAAGAAGGUUGUCGGAUCGUAAAACUCUGUUGGUAGAGAAGAACGUUGGUGAGAGUGGAAAGCUCAUCAAGUGACGGUAACUACCCAGAAAGGGACGGCUAACUACGUG